GAUGAACGCCGGCGGUGUGCCUAAUACAUGCAAGUCGAGCGCACUGGCCCAACUGAUAUGACGUGCUUGCACUGAUUUGACGAUGGAUUACCAGCGAGCGGCGGACGGGUGAGUAACACGUGGGUAACCUGCCCAAGAGACUGGGAUAACACCUGGAAACAGAUGCUAAUACCGGAUAACAACACUAGACGCAUGUCUAGAGUUUAAAAGAUGGUUCUGCUAUCACUCUUGGAUGGACCUGCGGUGCAUUAGCUAGUUGGUAAGGUAACGGCUUACCAAGGCAAUGAUGCAUAGCCGAGUUGAGAGACUGAUCGGCCACAUUGGGACUGAGACACGGCCCAAACUCCUACGGGAGGCAGCAGUAGGGAAUCUUCCACAAUGGACGCAAGUCUGAUGGAGCAACGCCGCGUGAGUGAAGAAGGGUUUCGGCUCGUAAAGCUCUGUUGGUAGUGAAGAAAGAUAGAGGUAGUAACUGGCCUUUAUUUGACGGUAAUUACUUAGAAAGUCACGGCUAACUACGUGCCAGCAGCCGCGGUAAUACGUAGGUGGCAAGCGUUGUCCGGAUUUAUUGGGCGUAAAGCGAGUGCAGGCGGUUCAAUAAGUCUGAUGUGAAAGCCUUCGGCUCAACCGGAGAAUUGCAUCAGAAACUGUUGAACUUGAGUGCAGAAGAGGAGAGUGGAACUCCAUGUGUAGCGGUGGAAUGCGUAGAUAUAUGGAAGAACACCAGUGGCGAAGGCGGCUCUCUGGUCUGCAACUGACGCUGAGGCUCGAAAGCAUGGGUAGCGAACAGG
rnacentral:rRNA from 1 species